CUGAAACACUCAAUUGAAUUCAUUAGUAAACAAAAGAUAUACUCAAAUGCUUUGAGCUCAUCAAAAUCAAAUAGGGUUUUAAUCAAUCACUCCACAAUCUCUCCCUUUUUGAUGAUGACAAAACAUUGAGUAUAUGUAAAGUGAAUUGCUCAAUAAACAAGGAAAUACGAUCUAUAAAUGAAUUCAAGUGUCUGGUUAUUUAAUUUAUCCAAGCUUGAAAGGUGUGAAACAAUAAAUUUUGGAGUUAAAGCUCCCCAUUUCAUUUGGAAUUAUAUAAGCCUUCAUGUCAUGCACUCAAUUGUUUGGCUUAUAUAUAUUUAAUGAUUUGACUUUCUUAAAAAUUCAGAUUCUCCCCCUCAACAUAUGCAUUCUACUUUGUUUUGAUUCUCUGAAUUUCCUUUUAAUGCAUUGAAGUUUUUGAACUGAAAUUUUUGGUUUUUAGAGGGAAAAUCUGUCAAUUUGUUCUUGAGUAGGAUUCAACUAAUCUCCGAAUAUCCCUUGAAUAGAUUCUGGAGAUUACUCCAUUAGGAGCCCCAACAGAGAGAUAAUGAGCCUCGAGGUA
rnacentral:lncRNA from 1 species